CAUGUGGGUUUAAAAUGUAGUCAUGAGUCAGAACCAAAGCUAAUUUGCUUUUCUUGUAACAGUUAGGGAAACUUGUCCUCUGAUCUGGUUUGUGUUUAACUGAAAUACACCAGUGUCUCAAAACUAACAAUGGCUAUAUAUCAUAAAGCUUUUAUAAAAACACCAACAAUCAUCUCUAUUAUUCUGUAUGUCUUAACAAUUAACUUGUCAUUCAAAACUGUCACAUGGGCGACAACUACAGCAGGUAAUGUACUCUGUUGCUGACUGGUGUGUGGUCUGGAUAUGCAUGACUGUGAUUAGAAGUGAAUUUCGAUCGAAGGCCAGAGAAACUCCAAAUACACCCUGCAGAAGAAACCCUAUAAGUUAUACACAUAACUUGUCAGGUUUUAGUGAAGCUGUGUCUGAAGUCAGUUGUAGUUUUCUUUCUCUCUUUUCUUCAGUGAUUCUGUUUGUUAACAGCAGGUGUUCUUCACUAAUACUCAAUUAUCACUCAAUUAAUCACUUAAUUACUUAAUUGCAAUGUAAAGCUUCUUUUUCUGAACUCAGCUGAAUUAAGUUCAGAGUACUCACAACUAUUAGUUUUAAAACUUAAAUGGUUUAAGGCAAUCGGUUGCAUCAAAGGGUUUGAGUAAAUCUAAUUUGUCAGGUUUUAUGUAUCUCUGUUUACUCAGACGGUUUGAGUUAAGUUACUUGUCGGGUUUUACAGUGUAUAUGUGUACACACUACAGAGUUUUAAAAGUAACACUGAAUACGUGUCAAAUUUAAUGAGAUAAUUAAGAGAGUAAUUGAGUGAUGAUUGACCGUUUCUGAAGACACUUGAUG